GGAAACAAAAUAAAAACCUAGGAUGGCCCGCUACUGCGUGCGCAAAUAAGCUUAGGAACCAGGAAUAAGGAGAAUAAAUCCAGACAAAACCAUAACUUGGUGCGUCCGAGUGGACUCGAACCACCGACCCCCACCA
rfam:Serratia symbiotica genome assembly, type strain CWBI-2.3T, contig: SYMBAF_Contig_5